GAUGAACGCUGGCGGCGUGCCUAAUACAUGCAAGUCGAGCGAACGGACGAGAAGCUUGCUUCUCUGAUGUUAGCGGCGGACGGGUGAGUAACACGUGGAUAACCUACCUAUAAGACUGGUAUAACUUCGGGAAACCGGAGCUAAUACCGGAUGAUAUUUUGAACCGCAUGGUUCAAAAGUGAAAGACGGUCUUGCUGUCACUUAUAGAUGGAUCCGCGCUGCAUUAGCUAGUUGGUAAGGUAACGGCUUACCAAGGCAACGAUGCAUAGCCGACCUGAGAGGGGGAUCGGCCACACUGGAACUGAGACGCGGUCCAGACUCCUACGGGAGGCAGCAGUAGGGAAUCUUCCGCAAUGGGCGAAAGCCUGACGGAGCAACGCCGCGUGAGUGAUGAAGGUCUUCGGAUCGUAAAACUCUGUUAUUAGGGAAGAACAUAUGUGUAAGUAACUGUGCACAUCUUGACGGUACCUAAUCAGAAAGCCACGGCUAACUACGUG
rnacentral:rRNA from 1 species